CCUACGGGUGGCAGCAGUGGGGAAUAUUGGACAAUGGGGGCAACCCUGAUCCAGCCAUGCCGCGUGUGUGAAGAAGGCCCUCGGGUUGUAAAGCACUUUCAGUGAGGAAGAACGCCUGGUGGUUAAUACCCAUCAGGAAAGACAUCACUCACAGAAGAAGCACCGGCUAACUCCGUGCCAGCAGCCGCGGUAAUACGGAGGGUGCGAGCGUUAAUCGGAAUUACUGGGCGUAAAGCGCGCGUAGGUGGCUUGAUAAGCCGGUUGUGAAAGCCCCGGGCUCAACCUGGGAACGGCAUCCGGAACUGUCAAGCUAGAGUGCAGGAGAGGAAGGUAGAAUUCCCGGUGUAGCGGUGAAAUGCGUAGCGAUCGGGAGGAAUACCAGUGGCGAAGGCGGCCUUCUGGACUGAAACUGACACUGAGGUGCGAAAGCGUGGGUAGCAAACAGGAUUAGAUACCCCAGUAGUC
rnacentral:rRNA from 1 species